rnacentral:lncRNA from 1 species
GAAAGAGGAAAAAAGUGAUCUGGGACCUGUUGUUUUUCUUGCAUCCCAUUUCUACUCUGCCUGUGAGUGAAGACUGUUGUGGAAAAGUCAACUGGAGAGACCAGGUCAAAGGCCAAGCAGAAGAGGAAUUAGGCUUAAGACUGCACUGAGAGGGAACACUAGACCAUGGUGGUAAAUGGAGUCUCGACACGUUGCCCAAGCUGUUCUCAAACUCCAGGGCUUGAACAAUCUUCCCACCUUGGCCUCCCAAGGCACUGGAAUUACAGAGACAGUGCUCUGCAGGGAGUCUACCACUGUGAUGGUUAAUACUGAGUGUCAACUUGAUUGGAUUGAAGGAUGCAAAGUAUUGUUCCUGGGUGUGUCUGUGAGGGUGUUGCCAAAGGAGAUUAACAUUUGAGUCAGUGGGCUGGGAAAGGUAGACCCAGCCGUAAUCUAGGUGGGCACCAUCUAAUCAGCUGCCAGCACAGCUAGAAGAUAAAGUAGGCAGAAAAACAUGAAAACAUUAGACUGGCCUA